rnacentral:rRNA from 1 species
GGAUAUAGCUGGUUCUCCCCGAAAUAGGUUUAGGCCUAGCCUUGAUUUUAUAUAUGUGGAGGUAGAGCACUGAAUGUGCGAUGGCGCCGUCUAGGUGUACUGAGUACAAACAAACUCCGAAUGCCACAUAAGAGUAAUCAGGAGUCAGUGUAUGGGUGAUAACGUCCAUACGCGAAAGGAAAAGAAUCCAGAUCGCCAGUUAAGGUCCCAAAAUUGUGUUAAGUGGAAAAGGAUGUGGAGUUGUAAAAACAGCUAGGAGGUUGGCUUAGAAGCAGCCAUCCUUUAAAGAGUGCGUAAUAGCUCACUAGUCGAGUGAAACUGCGCCGAAGAUGUACCGGGGCUAAACACAAUACCGAAACUGCGGACUUGUACGUAAGUAUGAGUGAUAGGGGAGCGUUGUAAUUGCGAAGAAGGUAUACCGUGAGGAGUGCUGGAGCGAUUAGAAGUGAGAAUGCCGGUGUGAGUAACGAAAAAUGGGUGGAAAUCCCAUUCACCGAUUGACUAAGGGUUCCUGGGUAAAGUUCGUCUUCCCAGGGUAAGUCAGGACCUAAGAUGAGGCCUAAAGGCGUAGUCGAUGGACAAUAGGUAUAUAAUCCUAUACCACCUAUAUAACUGAAGGAGUGACGAAGGAGGCUAGCUAAAGCCAAUUAAUGGAUUUUGGUCUAAGCACAAAGGCUUGUACGGAGUAAAAUGCACGAUACAAAAGAGCUGAAGUGUGAUGGGGAAGUGAUACUUUCGGGUAGAGCGAAGUUAAGUGACGCCAAACUUCCAAGAAAAGCUUCUAGGGCUAAUUAUAUAGGUGCCUGUACCGAUAACCGACACAGGUGGUCAAGGAGAGAAUCCUAAGGUGAGCGAGAGAACUAUGGUUAAGGAACUCGGCAAAAUGACCCCGUAACUUCGGGAGAAGGGGUGGUCAAGAAGAUAAUGCAGUAAUGUAUGAAAAUAAAUUGACCCGCAGUGAAUAGGUCCAGGCAACUGUUUACCAAAAACACAGGUUUCUGCAAACACGAAAGUGGAAGUAUAGGAGCUGACGCCUGCCCAGUGCUGGAAGGUUAAAGGGAAGUGUUCGUAGCAAUACAAAGCACCGAACUGAAGCCCCAGUGAACGGCGGCCGUAACUAUAACGGUCCUAAGGUAGCGAAAUUCCUUGUCAGGUAAGUUCUGACCCGCACGAAAGGCGUAAUGAUCUGGAUACUGUCUCAACCAUAGACUCGGUGAAAUCUUAAU